UGAGGGCAGUGACACAGGGUGGGGAAGUCCCUGAUCCUCAAGGUCCAGCUGCGGUGUGACCCGCACAUGGGGCAGUCACCACGGCGGCCGUGGGGCCUCCUUUCUGCUUCCUCUUUGACCCAUCUCUCACCUCCCCGGUUCCUAAGCUUGUGUCUCACGGAUCCUCGCCUCCUCCUGGGGCUGGGGACCCUCAGACACCUGCACCCGCCUCUGUUCUAGCGGCUGCGCACACCAGCUUAGGCGCCGGGCCCGCCUGGUUCAGCCCCGGCCCUCGGGGCCUUGGCUGCUUCACCUCAAAGUUGCUCUCACGAAGGACAUUCUGGGCCAUGAAGCUCGAACAAAGAUGAGGUCGUGUGAGGACACAGCAUGAUGACCUACAAGGCAGGAAGACAGGCCUCACUAGACUGUGACGGUGCUGGCACCUGGAAUUUGGACAGCCAGCCUCCUGUGAGAGAAUAAAUGUCUGUCUAAGCCAC